rnacentral:ncRNA from 1 species
UCUGUGAAGAGACAUGAGAGGUGUAGCAUAAGUGGGGGGCCGUGAACCCUCAUGGUUGUGUCGUGCCGACAGUGAAAUACCACUACUUUCAUCGUUUCUUUACUUGCUCCGUGAAGCGAUAUAUUUUGUGUUUCGUACUUUGUAUUUCUACAAAAAAGAAACUUUUUAGCGGCUCUGACCAGUAGCAAGCCCAGCACCAAAGACGUUACAUAUCGCGCGCUUUUGGCACCGCGGGUCGCCCCCGUAGGUGGAGGAGGUUUCCGCGUCGUCCGGUUAAAAUA